rnacentral:tRNA from 1 species
GCCGGUGUGGUGGAAUGGUAGACGCAGCGGAUUCAAAAUCCGCCGAUCGCAAGGUCAUGUCAGUUCGAGUCUGACCACCGGCACCA